rnacentral:rRNA from 1 species
GAUGAACGCUGGCGGCGUGCCUAAUACAUGCAAGUCGAGCGAACGGACGAGAAGCUUGCUUCUCUGAUGUUAGCGGCGGACGGGUGAGUAACACGUGGAUAACCUACCUAUAAGACUGGGAUAACUUCGGGAAACCGGAGCUAAUACCGGAUAAUAUUUUGAACCGCAUGGUUCAAAAGUGAAAGACGGUCUUGCUGUCACUUAUAGAUGGAUCCGCGCUGCAUUAGCUAGUUGGUAAGGUAACGGCUUACCAAGGCAACGAUGCAUAGCCGACCUGAGAGGGUGAUCGGCCACACUGGAACUGAGACACGGUCCAGACUCCUACGGGAGGCAGCAGUAGGGAAUCUUCCGCAAUGGGCGAAAGCCUGACGGAGCAACGCCGCGUGAGUGAUGAAGGUCUUCGGAUCGUAAAACUCUGUUAUUAGGGAAGAACAUAUGUGUAAGUAACUGUGCACAUCUUGACGGUACCUAAUCAGAAAGCCACGGCUAACUACGUGCCAGCAGCCGCGGUAAUACGUAGGUGGCAAGCGUUAUCCGGAAUUAUUGGGCGUAAAGCGCGCGUAGGCGGUUUUUUAAGUCUGAUGUGAAAGCCCACGGCUCAACCGUGGAGGGUCAUUGGAAACUGGAAAACUUGAGUGCAGAAGAGGAAAGUGGAAUUCCAUGUGUAGCGGUGAAAUGCGCAGAGAUAUGGAGGAACACCAGUGGCGAAGGCGACUUUCUGGUCUGUAACUGACGCUGAUGUGCGGAAGCGUGGGGAUCAAACAGGAUUAGAUACCCUGGUAGUCCACGCCGUAAACGAUGAGUGCUAAGUGUUAGGGGGUUUCCGCCCCUUAGUGCUGCAGCUAACGCAUUAAGCACUCCGCCUGGGGAGUACGACCGCAAGGUUGAAACUCAAAGGAAUUGACGGGGACCCGCACAAGCGGUGGAGCAUGUGGUUUAAUUCGAAGCAACGCGAAGAACCUUACCAAAUCUUGACAUCCUUUGACAACUCUAGAGAUAGAGCCUUCCCCUUCGGGGGACAAAGUGACAGGUGGUGCAUGGUUGUCGUCAGCUCGUGUCGUGAGAUGUUGGGUUAAGUCCCGCAACGAGCGCAACCCUUAAGCUUAGUUGCCAUCAUUAAGUUGGGCACUCUAAGUUGACUGCCGGUGACAAACCGGAGGAAGGUGGGGAUGACGUCAAAUCAUCAUGCCCCUUAUGAUUUGGGCUACACACGUGCUACAAUGGACAAUACAAAGGGCAGCGAAACCGCGAGGUCAAGCAAAUCCCAUAAAGUUGUUCUCAGUUCGGAUUGUAGUCUGCAACUCGACUACAUGAAGCUGGAAUCGCUAGUAAUCGUAGAUCAGCAUGCUACGGUGAAUACGUUCCCGGGUCU